rnacentral:rRNA from 1 species
UGCCAGCCGCCGCGGUAAUACGGAGGGUCCAAGCGUUGUUCGGAAUUAUUGGGCGUAAAGGGCGCGUAGGCGGGUUCUUAAGUCUGAUGUGAAAUCCCUCGGUUCAACCGAGGACGUGCAUUGGAUACUGGGAACCUUGAGUCCUGGAGAGGAAAGCGGAAUUCCUGGUGUAGCAGUGAAAUGCGUGGAUAUCAGGAGGAACAUCAAUGGCGGAGGCAACUUACUGGACAUUUACUGACGCUCAGACACGAAGGCUAGGGUAGCGAAAGGGAUUAGAUA